rnacentral:lncRNA from 10 species
AUUUUAUUUUCUUUCACUGGCAUAAGUUUAAUAGUUAUUCAAAAAAAAAAAAACUGGAUUUUUUAUUCCCCUGACUUUUUAAAUGUUUAAAAGAUGGCUGUUUCUUACCUUCAUGUGAUUAGGGGACCUUAUGUUAAAUUCUUGAGUUAUGCUUUCUGCAGACUUUAGGUAGACAGAGUUUCACUGGUGAGGUAAAUUUUUUUAAACUGUGAAAUGCACAGAUCUAAAGUUUACAAUUCAAUAACUUUGGACAAAUACAAAGACCCAUAUAAUCAAUACCGAUUCAAGCUACAGGCAUUUUCCUCACCUCAAAAAUUCCUUCAUGCCUUUCCACUUAAAUCUCAC